UCCGUUAUGGUGUAGUGGCUAACAUUAUCGCCUCUCAUUCCCGUCUACGUAUAGGUUUGCGCGAUAGCCCAGGGUUCAAUUCCCUGUAACGGAA